GGGUCCCCAUGAUGUCCAGCACUGGGCUCUGACCUCCCCUGAGGACAUGGGGCAGGGACCCCCCUGGGAUCUUUGACACCCAGGGGUCUGAGGGACCC
rnacentral:snoRNA from 1 species